rnacentral:rRNA from 1 species
CCUACGGGUGGCAGCAGUGAGGAAUAUUGGUCAAUGGGCGCGAGCCUGAACCAGCCAAGUCGCGUGAAGGAUGACUGCCCUACGGGUUGUAAACUUCUUUUAUCAAGGAAUAAAAUGAGGCUCGUGUGCCUGUUUGUAUGUACUUUAUGAAUAAGGAUCGGCUAACUCCGUGCCAGCAGCCGCGGUAAUCCGGAGGAUCCGAGCGUUAUCCGGAUUUAUUGGGUUUAAAGGGAGCGUAGAUGGGUUGUUAAGUCAGGUGUGAAAGUGUGCGGCUCAACCGUAAAAUAGCAUUUGAUACUGGCAGUCUUGAGUACAGUUGAGGUAGGCGGAAUUCGUGGUGUAGCGGUGAAAUGCUUAGAUAUCACGAAGAACUCCGACUGCGAAGGCAGCUUACUGGACUGCCACUGACAUUGAUGCUCGAAAGUGUGGGUAUCGAACAGGAUUAGAUACCCUGGUAGUC